CGGAGCUACUUAGGAGGGUCAAGAAGGGCACUCGGUAAACGUGCGUGCGAGUAUCGAGUGAAAGGCAUGAACAUGUCUCGCGUUUCUCGACUGGCCGUUGUGGCGCGGAAUUUCACUACCUCGGCAAUCCGAAGAAGUGGUCAUGAUGACCACGACACCAGCGGCAUUCCUGGUUCGAACUUGCCCUUCAAGAUCAAUAACAAGUACGGUCUGACCAUCAAGUUUGCCCUAUUCUUCGGAAGCGGCUUCGCGGUUCCUUUCUUCGCAGUUCGGCACCAGCUCCUGAAGCAGUGAUGCUGCAAGAAAUAUUGGACUCCGCUGCGCGACGCAGGCGCUGAAACGCAAACUGUCGAUUUGUGUAGAAUAAAUUCUAUCGGUUCGAAUA
rnacentral:lncRNA from 1 species